AUUGAACGCUGGCGGCAUGCCUUACACAUGCAAGUCGAGCGGCAGCGCGGAGGCAACCCUGGCGGCGAGCGGCGGACGGGUGAGUAAUACAUCGGAACGUGUCCUUUCGUGGGGGAUAACCAGUCGAAAGACUGGCUAAUACCGCAUGAGAUCUCACGAUGAAAGCGGGGGACCGCAAGGCCUCGCGCGAUUGGAGCGGCCGAGGUCGGAUUAGCUAGUUGGCGGGGUAAAAGCCCACCAAGGCGACGAUCCGUAGCUGGGUUGAGAGAACGACCCGCCACACUGGGACUGAGACACGGCCCAGACUCCUACGGGAGGCAGCAGUGGGGAAUUUUGGACAAGGGGCGCAAGCCUGAUCCAGCCAUGCCGCGUGUGUGAAGAAGGCCUUCGGGUUGUAAAGCACGUUCGGCCGGAACGAAAUCGCGCGGAUUAAUAACCCGCGUGGAUGACGGUACCGGAAGAAGAAGCACCGGCUAACUACGUGCCAGCCGCCGCCGUAACAC
rnacentral:rRNA from 1 species